AAGAGAGUAUACCGCGAGGUGAAAACACUGGCGAACAAAUGAAGCUGGAAUUAUCUGUUUACUUACCAGUUUCAACAUCGAGGAGAUAAUACCGUAACCUGCAGAAGUGUCUCCCCGCUGUUGGGCGAGAUGAAGCUCGGCGCCGGGGUCAGUAUCAUGGCUUUAUACCACUCUGCUUGCAAACCAUCGAUUAUUAUAAAUGUUCGUACAAUAGACUGCCCAUACAUGUAAUUCUCAUUUAAUUGUUUCAUGAGACAAGGGUCCAGCCAGCGGUGCUGCUGCGAACUACGUAAGUAUCUUCUCAAAUCAAUCAUAUAAUCUGGUAAAUGUCAUUUUCCUCAUGCAUAAAUAUCUAUUAUUGCAUGCGUUCGGAGCGGAGUCCCGAUCUGUACACGAAACUCGCUCCCGUUUUUAUUCAUACAGAUGCCGGCUUCUCCACCAUCACUGCACUGAUGUCACGACAUCACUCUACAAGGUACAACUCCAGCACGGAGGUAUUUCUCAUGUGGCGGUACCCUAUACCCUGCUUUUGCAUCACAACAUUACACUACUUAUUAUACAUAUAAAAUAAGGGGGGGGGGCCGCGGCCAGCCAGGAGUACCACUUACCUGGCUGCAAGUCUUCCCCCUUAUGGAGGAACACUACGACCCGUUCCUCCCAGCGAGAACCCCCCGACACUAAACAUCAUGCGCAUGGAACUAUAAGUAUCAAUUCACUUGGGCUCGUCGUCUCGGAAGUCAUCACUAUUUGCCAGUUUGUACCAACAUUGCACAGCCAACCAUCACUCAGAAGCAGUUUGGCUUACAUAGGAGUACCGACAAUGCAAGCAAGAUUUUUCUCGGCACUCCUGCAAAGAAAUCGGCAUAUGUCACCGCACCUGCGUCCUGCCACACAAAUCUGAAAAGUAGAAUGAAUGCGCAAAGAUCUUAUUUAUUGGCAACACAAUAUUCUGGAAACUAGCUUAUUGCCGAUCAUCAAUUGUCGGGGGGAAAGGGGGCCGCGGCAGCCAGGCAGACCACCCGCCUGGCUGAAGAUUUACCCCAUCAUGGAGGAACACUGCCACACGUUCCUCCGCACAGUUUCACCGCAUCGUCUCGAAUACGCAGCAGAAGAUUACGCCACAACUAUUUUACCUAUUACUACUAAAAUAGUAUAUUCUGCUUCCUGCGUUCCAAGCUUGGUGGAGCUUGACGAUUACUUCACAGCGUCAUAACCAUGGACAGACAUCAUGGACUGCGACUAGACGAGGGGCAGCAACUGUAGCAGCUUCAGUAUCCAGCGAUCGCUGGCUACCAAGAGGGUCGCGCGGUGACGGUGAGCAGUCACAACUUGUUGCUUGGAGAAGGAUUAGACAGAAGAAUUCUUCUCAUCACUAGUCUGCAAGCAGCGCAGAGGCUUCUUGGAAACAGAUCGCCGGAUAUGCAACAUAAAGAAGAGACGUCAGAGCUGCGGUGCAGAGACUAUUUGGAAGAGAGACAGAACCGAAGAAGACGCUCUUCGGCGGGCUUACAUUGUAGAUUUAAGGCGUCCUUUUGUAAAACACCUAAUGUACCUAAUAUAAGUGUUGUAAGCUACCAUUUACAACACUGAUAUGACAUGCGUUGAAUUAGUAUUAAGGUAUUUUUGUAAUAUUCGACAUAAGGUCAACAUUUUUAUUCCGAGUUACAAGUCUCUCGUUGGUCGGUUCACUUAUUUUUUUCAAAUUGUUAUCGGAUUUCUCUAUUCACAUUUACGACAAUUAUUGGCAUAACACUGAGAAGGAAGGGGCAUGCAUGAGGUGCUUAGCUCUGUGUUUCCUCUGGUACCGAUGUGUUCCAUAAUACUUUAUUCUACAUGCUCCUCUUCAGGAGCUUACCUGAAGAGGAGAAUGUAGUAUUCUGUUUGCAGCAUUAGUUUCUACUAUCUAAACUACGUGUUCGGUGAUCGUACUCGGAUGAGACCAAUUAGCUGUGUGCGGUCCCACAUCUCACCAGAGUCUGCGUCUGCAGCGGUAAAUGGAAACUUCAGCUCGGACCUCAAGAGCACCUCGCCGGCGCUCUCGGCGGCGACUCUUCACGACUAGCGCAGAUCUUCCAGUGUCCAGUCUGCGCUACUCUGCGAAUACUCCUGCGCUCUUCACUCCUCUCGCCUCGGCAGCGUCUGAGGCACAUCGCUACUGUGCAAAGUCCUGUCUGCAGAACUGAAGUACUUCAAUAAACUUCCAGCAGUCCCGCCAUGUUCUGAACGCUCCUAGGCGUGCGCCGCGAUGUGAACGUCUCUUUAUAGACCGUGCUGGCACUCCGGGACGGAGACCACUUCAGCGCCAGUUUCCGGUCGCGACCGAGGGUCUCCUCUUCCGGCACUGGCAUCAGAGCACAGCACGCCUGUGAGCUGCACCACCACUAGCGGGCCACCUGACACUCAUAUUGAAAGAACUCAUUUUUUGCACGCUGGUGGAAUGGAGGUAAAGGAAUCACGUAUCUCGAAACCGGAGACAGCACAUCUAGUGUCAGCACUAGUUAAUGAAACAGUCGUAAGUACAUAAUUAGAGUUCCUAGUCCUCGUCGACAUAUAAUGUUUAAAACUACAGUCCUUACCACUAACCCAUAUACAUUGGAAUUGAAUUCGUCUACAAACUGUUAUCGAACACUGAGAUCCUGAAAACCGUCGCCAGGAAAUAGACAAAACCUCUGUCAAGGUCCUUCCUAAUCGAAACAAUCAAAAUAUUCCGCCGCUAGACUUAAAGCAAUCUUAAUGAGCAUUGACAACGCCAAUCCCCGUGUUUAGGGCGAGAUUUUUGUGGAAAAUGAAUUUGACAUGAUUAAAAAUAUUGUCGUAACUUGUGAGACUGCAACUUAAUGUAGUCAUGGACAGCAAUGUCAAAGCAAGAAUUUGCGGGGCAUUAAGAGACAGUAACUAAGAUCUCAGGGUGACAAGCACAGUGCUGUUGCUACUGUUUAUUGGCAGUUGUGACGGUUAGCGUCAGGCGCACAACUUGCUUGUAUUAUCUUUCACUUCUUUAAGAAAAGCUACUGGGAAUGGGAUGCUUUUGCACAAAGGUAGGAAAGGAGAGCAAAAUCAAAAGAAUCAAUGCACGGAAGGUGUUGAAUGAAACAUAGUCAAGGCAACUUUCACUCACUAACGUUAGUUCAUUCACUUUUAAUAAUUAUGUAAAGUAUUGUCACCAAUCGCCACGUUUAUACCACAGUGUGAUGUCUGUUAUGGUACGUGGCUGUACGAAAGCAUGCAAGCGAAGCCAGGUAUCUUCUGACAGUGAUAAGUAAUAUGUACUUAGCACCAGUGAACUUACACAGUUACCCGCAUACGUUCAUAUUCAUGUAAGCAUGCUUUUUAUAGCACGUUAUUUCAGGCACAAAGCAUGUACGCUACAAGUUGUUUUAUAAUUAUUAUGUGUUAGUAUACGCAAAACUUGUAAAAAAAUUGUCAGUAACGCAUUCAUGUCACCAACAUGUCUUAUACUGCAUAAUUCUGACCAGUAAACUACGCAACAUGUAUAAUACAUGCUUCUGACAUGUCGAGUUUGAGCAAGUUUCUGACAAACUGCAUACAUGCUUUAACAAAAUCAACUCUUGGUUUAAACGAGGUGAUUUGCAUUUAUAAUCAAAUAAUAUUAUCUUUAUUCACUCCAAACUUCCAAACUGCUUGAAGAGUAGUUUUGAGAAGUUUCAACAUAUUGAGUGGUUAUUAUUAGUAAUGUAAGUCACUUAUGAACCUAAUUUUACGACUUUGUCUAACUACCCUUAAUGUAGCGAAUAGGCAUGAUUGGCUGCUGUUUAAUAAAGUACAGCACUUAGUUCUGACGUAUUUUAGAUGAGUGUCACAUUACAAGACAUGCUCUAUCGCGUAUGAGGAUUAUAUUGAGAUUAUAUAUAAAUGUACGAGAUGAGUGUCCGGUUGGAACUCACGGCAUAGUUAGCGUAAGUAAACAUAGUUGUAAUAAGACUGCACGUGGCCACAACUGCAGCGAAACCGUAGUUUGUGUUUAAAUACUUAUCAAGUUACGAAGCGUCAUGAUCGAGUGAGGGUGUAUAGUAAUUAUUGCGUUCGACUUGUAGUUGGAUAAUGUGUACCACCUCAACCCACGGCACCGUGGGGAGGGGUUUGUGGGGGUGAUGAGGAGAAGUGACGUGUAUGUAAAAUUAUCAUUGUCUAUGUUAUAUUCACCAUGUGUACUAACUGUAACUAUAUACAAUAUUUUUCUGUGGAUGUGUCUUUAGAUAUCUGUUUAAUAUGGUGUAUUCCAUCGUUAUGAUACUUCAAAUAUAAACGUCAAACUUAUAAUAUAAAA